rnacentral:lncRNA from 10 species
CCCCACCCUGCCCCAGUAGGGGUGCUCUUUGUCUCCUGUGAACUCCUUCCGUACUCUCUAGUCCUCUGCUAAAGCACUGACUGCCUUCUACACUGGUUAAGAUCUUGGGUUUUUGAUGUGAAGACAAUCUGGCUGUGACAUCUGUCACCUCAAUGAUCACAGGGUUGAUUUGGCCGGUCUGGCUGGCUAGGCGGGUGUCCCCUUCCUCCCUCACCACUCCAGUGCAUCCCUCCUGAAGCUGCAUGCUUGGUCAAAGAGGAUGACCUUCCUGAUACAGGAGGACCAUCCCUCUGUCAAGGGUAUAUGAGGAGCUAUGCUCCCCUACUAGAACCUCCAAACAAGCUCUAAAGAUCUUGGGUCUUGGAGAUUUAUAAAUCUAGUUUGUGGCCCUGACUCCAGUACUGUGUGACCUUGAAAAAGUUCCUUAACCUCUCUGAGCUUCCAUUUCCUCCUUGUAUUUUCAAGGAAAUUUGGGGACAUAAGGAAGGGAAAGUAUUUGGAGCAGUGUCUGGGCAGUGCAGAGUAACAGAUAAGAGUGCAGGCUCCUUCUUGAAAGGGGAAAUGGGUGAAAAAAAAAAAAAGGAGUGCAGGCUCUGAACUACAGUGCAUGGGUUUGAAACCACACUCCGCGUUCACUCACUGGCAGUAUGAUCUUGGGUAGCAUUACUAAACUCUUCUUUGCCUCAGUUUCCUCAACUGUACAAUUUGGAUAAUAAUAGUGUGGCAGACAGACCCUAGUAUGGCACCCAUAAUGUUCACACCCUGUAUUAUCCCCAGUUUUUGAGUGUGAACAAGACCUGUGAUUUGCUUCUGACCGCUGGAACACGGCAAAGGUGAAGAGAUUUUGCAGAUGUAAUUAGGGUUCCAAAUUAUUACAUUCUGAGUUACUCAAAAGGGAGAUUAUGCUGAGUGGGCCUGAUUUAGUCAGGGAAAAUUCCUUAAAAGAGGAACUGUACCCUCCCUGGAGUCAGAGACUCUGAGUUCUGAUUUUGAAGAAGUAAGCUGUUGUGCUACAAGAAGGCCUAGGAGAAGGCCACGUGGCAAGACUGUGGGUCACCUCUAGGAACUGAAAGUGGACCCUGGCUGACAGCCAGCAAGAAUACCAGGGCUUCAAUCCUGCAACUGCAAGGAGGUGAAUUUUUCCAGCUUAAGGGAACUUGGGAGUGGAUCUUUCCCCAGUCAAGCUUCUGAUGAGACUGCAGCUCUAACUGAUGCCUGGAUUGUAGGCUGGUGAGACCCUGAAGCAGAGAACUGUCUGUUCCCAGGCUUCUGACCUACAGAAGCUGUGAGACAAUAAAUAUGCUAAAUUUGUGGUAAUUUGUUACUCAGCAUACAAAAUUAAUACAGUGUCCACCUUAUAGGGUUCUAAUGAAGAUUAAAUGGGGUCACGGAGGUAAUCAAAGCCUUGGCCUAGUGCCUGGCUCAUGGGAGAUGCUCAGUAAUUGGUAGUAAUUAGCUGCCAAUGCUAUUAUGUUUAGGAUGUAGCACUUUACAAAGUUAUGUUUUUAAUCAUCAGCUUAUUAGCACGUUUGAACAAAUGAUAGGUUUUGCAGGCAGGAAACCUACAUCUGAAACAUAGCAAAAUUGCUAUUAGACCUUUACCUUGCUGGGCCUGUGUCUGUUAGAAUGCAUUAGGCUGCAAGUACAGAACACCUGACUAACAGUGGCUGUCUUAGGUUGGGAUUCUUAGAAACAGAAGUUGAGAUGAGAAGAUGAGUUGAAAGUGAUGUCUUAGGAAGUGUUUCCAAGACAAACCAGUAGUAGGGGUGUGGAGAAGUGGGAAGGGAAGAAGGCAAGGCAAGGGUGUGAUUCAGGCCAAGUCCCGCAGAGGGGAGCUUGACUCAGACUUGCAGAGGAGCUCCGGAGAUCGUGCAAUCACUCCUCAGAGUCAUCCACAUCAGCACAAGGGAGCUGGAGGAUUGGCACCUCCAUACUCAUCUGUCUGAGCUAAGGGCCACCUGGGGUGGAGCGGAGGUGGACAUUGUCAGGCUCUUCUGGUUUUCCAUGCUCACUGGCAAAGUGGGCUCAGGCAGCCUAAGGUCAGUGUUCUGACAAAGAGAAGCAGGUGCUGGCUGUUGGGAAUGAAAGCUCACUGGAGCUGGUAUGUAUGACAAUGGUAAAGGGAUAACAGGCAUUGUGAUUGGGUCAAUGGCAGUGCCGCUACAGUGGCAUAAACUGCAAGGACAUCUGUUAUUUUCUUAACAAGAAAUGUGGAGGUAUGUGGUCUCCAGACUGCUUCAGUGUAGGUCAUCAAGGUCAUUGAGGACUCAGCUCAGGACAGCCUUCCUCAGCAUCCUGGCUUUUAUCAUUCUCAGCCUCAUGGCCACAAGAUGGCUGCUGCAGCACCAGGGCUCAUGUCCUUAACUGAUAGCAUUUGAGUCUGGAAGAAAAGGGAGGGCUGCAGCAAAAAAACCUUUCGCCUCACAUGACCCUCCCCUACAGAAGGAAAAUCUUCCCUGCUCACUCCACCAGCCCUGGUUCAUGUCAUCAGUGCGUGUGAAAGGGCUUUAUAUCCUGCGAAACACAACAAUGCUAAUUUUAAUUGCUAUUGAAAUCCAUGCUUUUUCUUCCCCUUUGCACUGUGAGGGGCUGUGUGUGACUCACCGUGGCUUCUGUUGAUUCUGCCCUCUAAAUAGCUGGCAAUCCCACCCACUUCUCUCCCUCUCUGUUGCCACACCCUCAUCCAGACUGCCACCAUCUCUGUCACUGGUAGCUGCAAUAACUUAUUAAUACUAACUGAUUGCCCUGCUUCCAUUCUUGACUCCUUCCAAGUCUUUCUCCCACAGAAGCCUCAGGGAUCUUUGUAAAACACAAAUCUGUCUGAGUCACUCCCCUGCUGGAAAUCGUUCCAGGCUCAAAAAUAGGGGAGAUAUUCAGAAUAACUACUGAUUUGGAAUAGGCCCUGGGCAAUCAGGAUAGGCCCCAGUGUUGACAGCCCUGCCAGCCCAUCCUUCCUGAAUAUCAGCCCUGUUCUGGUGGCCCUGGGGAAAUUGACCUCUGCUGCCUCUCCAGGCUUCUCUCUAAAGCCCGUGCCCCUCACCCCCACUUCCUGCACCACCUACAUCCACUGCCCGAUACUACUCUCUUGCCAGGCUGAACUUUUUGCUGCUUCCCAGAUGUUUAACAUACAGUAGGUGCUCAAUCAAUGGUUGUUGAGCUCUGGAAUGAUCACUGCUACCAUUGUUACUCCCAUUACCACUGCCACCACCACCAUUACUGCCUCCACCACCACCAGUACCACCCCUCCGAUUUGCAGGACCCAGGCAAGAGUGCAAAUGGAGACUACAUAUCAUAAUAUGUAAUAGAUCAUAUGUGAUAUGACAUGGAGUCUCCAUUUGUAUCCUUGCCUGUCACCACUUUUGCCUGUUGUGAGGCCUCUGACCUCCCUGUUUCCUAGGACUGAAACACGAUUUCUCCACUUUCCCUGAAUAAUUGCUUAACGUCUCUAUUUGGAUGUCUCCUCAUCCAGGAAGCUUCCUCUGACACCCCUCUCCCCGCUCCCUGGCCAUGGGUUCUCACAGCCACCCCUGUGCCUUCUUCUGUGUUUGUCACUCUGUUGUCAUUGUUUAUGUCUCUCCCUCUCUAGACUGGAGACUUUUGAGGAUGCAGUUGGACACAGAGGACAAUUACAUCCCCUGUGCUGGUAGUAGCAGGGAGCCAUGGUGGUAAAGGAGGGCAGGACCACCUUUAAGCCCAGGAAAGAGGGACCCCCACCCUGGGCCAUGCCCUCUGGAGGGCCCCAGUCUGACCCACUUUCAGCUGCACUCCUACCCACAGCCCAAGGGGUCCAUGGGAUUGAGGGUAUGUGCACCCCACCUCCUCUCUAGACCACAGUGGGGACCUAGGAUCCUGGAAUUCUCUGCCCAAGCAGCCCUGAG